rnacentral:rRNA from 1 species
GAUGAACGCUGGCGGCGUGCCUAAUACAUGCAAGUCGAGCGAACAGACGAGGAGCUUGCUCCUCUGACGUUAGCGGCGGACGGGUGAGUAACACGUGGAUAACCUACCUAUAAGACUGGGGUAACUUCGGGAAACCGGAGCUAAUACCGGAUAAUAUAUUGAACCGCAUGGUUCAAUAGUGAAAGACGGUUUUGCUGUCACUUAUAGAUGGAUCCGCGCCGCAUUAGCUAGUUGGUAAGGUAACGGCUUACCAAGGCAACGAAUCGUAGCCGACCUGAGAGGGUGAUCGGCCACACGGGAACUGGGACACGCUCCAGACUCCUACGGGAGGCAGCAGUAGGGAAUCUUCCGCAAUGGGCGAAAGCCUGACGGAGCAACACCGCGUGAGUGAUGAAGGUCUUCGGAUCGUAAAACUCUGUUAUUAGGGAAGAACAAAUGUGUAAGUAACUAUGCACGUCUUGACGGUACCUAAUCAGAAAGCCACGGCUAACUACGUG